rnacentral:rRNA from 1 species
GGAGUCUGGGCCGUGUCUCAGUCCCAAUGUGGCCGUUCAACCUCUCAGUCCGGCUACUGAUCGUCGACUUGGUGGGCCGUUACCUCACCAACUAUCUAAUCAGACGCGAGCCCAUCUUUCAGCGAUAAAUCUUUGGUAUCAAAAGGAUGCCCUUCUGACACGUUAUGCGGUAUUAGCAGUCGUUUCCAACUGUUGUCCCCCCUCUGAAAGGCAGGUUGCUCACGUGUUACUCACCCGUCCGCCACUAACUUUCGGAGCAAGCUCCGAUCGUCCGUUCGACUUGCAUGUGUUAGGCGCGCCGCCAGCGUUCGUCCUGUAGCCACUGAUCAAACUACU